rnacentral:rRNA from 1 species
GAUGAACGCUGGCGGCGUGCCUAAUACAUGCAAGUCGAGCGAACAGACGAGGAGCUUGCUCCUCUGACGUUAGCGGCGGACGGGUGAGUAACACGUGGAUAACCUACCUAUAAGACUGGGAUAACUUCGGGAAACCGGAGCUAAUACCGGAUAAUAUAUUGAACCGCAUGGUUCAAUAGUGAAAGACGGUUUUGCUGUCACUUAUAGAUGGAUCCGCGCCGCAUUAGCUAGUUGGUAAGGUAACGGCUUACCAAGGCGACGAUGCGUAGCCGACCUGAGAGGGAGAGCGGCCAGACUGGAACUGAGCCACGGACCAGACUCCUACGGGAGGCAGCAGUAGGGAAUCUUCCGCAAUGGGCGAAGGCCUGACGGAGCAACUCCGCGGGAGUGAUGAAGGUCUUCGGAUCGUAAAACUCUGUUAUGAGGAAAGAACAAAUGUGUAAGUAACUAUGCACGUCUUGACGGUACCUAAUCAGAAAGCCACGGCUAACUACGUG